UUUCAUGCCUGUUAUAAAAUCAAAAGUUUAUCCUAAAGAACUCAUUUUCUGCCCUCUUUUACAAAAAAGCAAAUGAACCCUCUGCUAGGGUUUUCAUUUUUCUCUGCCGCCGCCGCCAGCAAGGCCGUCUACAGCUUCCGUCGUCGGCCCGGUCUCCGAUUGCGACGGAGAGGGGAAAGAUUCGACAACACCAGGUAAUUUUCUCACCUCUUAAUCGUUUCUUUUUCUUUCUUUUUUUUACACACGAUAAAUAAAUAAAAAAGAUUCAAGAACAGAAAAGACCAUCGUAGCAAAAAAAAUCACCUUCAAUAUACUGCUUUUUAUUUUCUUCUAUCUUUUUUUUUGUUUACACUAAUUUCUUUCUCUCUUUUUGAUUCAAUCUGCCUAUUCCCCCCCCCCCAAAAUAUAAUAGCUUCCCCUAUAAUUUAUGCUAUCUUUUCAUUAUUCUAGCCUUCUCUUGCGGUUCGUGAUUUUGUGGCAGGUACAUACUGGAAGGAUCGUGUACGACGUGUGGGGGCGACGUGCUGCAACGGAGGCGAUAACUGCUGGAGGGAGAACGUGUGCGGCGCUGGGGGAGAAGGGUUAGGGUUUCUGGAAACAGUUUAGCAUUAGGUUAAUUGGGCCAGGCUAGAUUUGGGUUUGGGUUAAUGUAAUUAUUUUUUAGGGUCUGUUGUAAUUGGGUUAAUGGAUAUUUGGGCCGUUUAAACGGACUGGGCAUUUUUUGUCAUUUUUUGUUUUUUAUUUGAUUUGGACCCCGGGAAAUAAUUGGGUAUCACAAGGAUCAUCUCCAAUGUGAUUAUGAAAUGCAAAAUUCUUCCCAAAAUUAACUUUUUCCCAACUUGUAAAUCCUUUAAUGGUGAAUACGUCCCAACUGGGUUGCCUAACGGGUUUCAUGUUAAAAAAGGUAACAUGGUAAACAAUAUGCAACAUCCUUAGUUUGAGAAUACUCAAGCUAAGAAGAAAAUCAGUAAACCAAGAAUAUUGAAAAUGCCUAGGAUGUUUUUCUAGGGAUUAUGGAUAACUAGAGAGAUGAAUUUGACACGGAUCUGCUCUCAAGUAAGCUCGUCAAACUUCAUCUCGUUGAUUAAUUGAAUAUGCCCACAUUGGUCAAUGUAACCCCAGAUCAUGUUCUAUAAGAGGAUAAUUAACAUCUUUAACAUCGACAGACAGAUUCCAGAGGAGAUUGAGUGCAACUUUAAUGCUCAAGCCUAGGAGAUUUGGGUGGUAUACUAUUUUUGAAGUAUCGACGUGUUUCUUUCUAAG
rnacentral:lncRNA from 1 species